rnacentral:lncRNA from 1 species
ACUUGUUUUGACCCUCAAAUUCUUGAGUCAGCCUUAUACUAUGGAGGAAACUAGAAAACCCUCCAGCCCAGUUCAAGAAUAAGCUUGGGGAAAGUUACUUCUUCGAAAGCAAAAGUAUCUCAUAUCAUCUCUUCUCCAUUUGCUUUUCCUUAUCCUUGUUGUUGUUUACGACACAAGGAGAAGGAGAACAAUCAACUGGAAGCCGAAGUCGAACCUUCGAUCCAAGUUGCUUGCUUGGAAGUCCGAUUGCUUACCUUGUCUGUUACCUCUUUCGACAAAUCUCCUAGCUCGGCGACUUGGGUGACUCCUACUAUUGGGUUUUGUAUCGCACUUGACCAAGCCUGAAACUACAAGUAAGCUUCAAGUGAAAUUGAUACAUUACCUUGUGCAUCUUCAUCGGUUAAAGAUACCACCCCUGGAUGGAGGAAAAGUACUUUUAGAGAAGAUGCCACAUCUACGUAUGAGACAGAUAAGGCAACUGAAAAUGAUACCACACUUCGGUACUUAGAAUUUUCGUGAUUACUCAAUGGCUUGGAUCUUGCAAUUCCCCAACCAAGGAGCUUCCCUCACUCGGGAACUUAAGGGAGCACUGUUUGUACCAUACUUGACCAAUCCCAAAACUAUUGAGCACCGGUCAACGUUAUACCGUCAAAGACCCAGAAGAGUUUCCUUCCAACCAGGAGGCCAAUCACAGCGCGACACGUGUCGACAUUAGAAGCCAAUCAUAGCACGACA